UACAGAGGUCCCGAGCGUUGUUCGGAUUCAUUGGGCGUAAAGGGUGCGUAGGCGGCGGGGCAAGUCUGAUGGGAAAUCCCGGGGCUCAACCCCGGAACUGCAUUGGAUACUGCCUUGCUUGAGUACUGGAGAGGGAACUGGAAUUUACGGUGUAGCAGUGAAAUGCGUAGAGAUCGUAAGGAAGGCCAGUGGCGAAGGCGAGUUCCUGGACAGUUACUGACGCUGAGGCACGAAGGCCAGGGGAGCAAACGGG
rnacentral:rRNA from 1 species